ACCCAUGCGACGCCUUAAGACCCCGGAGAGGCGGAGCGAGCGAGCGAGCGAGAGAGAGAGAGAGAGAGAGCUCGAGCUCUUGCCGAGAAGCUCAUAUCUUCGCGUCGUCUUCUUCUUCUUCUUUGAGUCAUUGUCCUGUUCCCUAGAUGGAGGAGCUCUUCUACUGAUUUGCCUUCCCGUGUUUCCGCCGGUAGCUUCUCUUUUCAGUUUUGGCUUCUCUCCGGCGACAUGAUCCGUUCCGCGCUCUGCAGCCUGUCGCUUCGUUCGGCGCUCAACGUCUCCAGUCCUUCUCCCUGGCGACCUCGGUUUUAUCCUUCUCAAAAAUUCGAACCUCGGUGCUAUACAAAUGGAUCAAACUUCGGGAAUCAUAAGCUACCAAAACAAGUUUUAGAAGAUGAUGAGCCAUUGGCUUCUCGGUCAUGGAUAGCUUAUGUUAUUCCCACCGCGGUACUAUUGAUCGCUGGAACUGGCCUGUAUGUUCAUUAUAAUGAUGAAAAGCGAGCAAUCUUAAAAGGUUCAGAACAAAGUAUUGUUUACGAGAGGAAUAAUGUCAACAGACCAGCAAUUGGAGGGCCCUUCAAACUGUUCGAUACUGAAAAUAAUUCUGUAACUGAAUCAACCUUCCAGGGAAAUUGGGUACUCAUGUAUUUUGGGUACACUUCGUCACCUGAUGUUGGACCAGAAGAAGUUAAAAAGAUGGCUGAUGUUAUUAAAGUAUUAGAGUCUGAAUACAAUUUCAAGAUUAAACCUGUUUUUAUCUCCAUUGAUCCUCAACGUGACACCUGUGCUCAAGUCAAGGCUUACCUAAAAGAAUUUGAUCCAAGAAUUAUAGGACUAACAGGUCCUGUAUCCUCUGUAAGACAGGCGGCACAGGAAUAUCGUGUAUUCUUUAGGAAAGUUGAUGAAGAAGGCCAAGAUUAUCUUGUUGAAUCUUCAAACAACAUGUACCUGUUAGAUCCCAACACGGAGGUUGUCAGGUUUUUCGGGGUGGAGUAUGAUGCACGACAAUUGGCUGAUGCCAUAAUGAUGGAGGUGAACAAGGCAUCAAGAUGACCAAAUAGCUACUAUUUUGUUUCGGAAAGGAUGAUCCAAGAUUCCAAGUUAUGCAUUGAAACCGAGUUGAAGCAGCUUCUGACCUUGUGUGGUUGUGAGAUGGAAAUAUUGGAGGCAGCAAUUCCAAAUACAAAGGGUGAUAGAAGAGUGACAACUUAUAUCCCCUCUUAUCUUUUGCUGAGAAUAUUCUCACUUUGUUCUUUGAUAUUAGUAAUCUGCCUUUAAUAUGAGCAGCUUUGUGCUUCUGUUCUUCUGAUGUCCAUAUACUACACAAGUAUUCAUUGGAAAAUGCCACUGGUGCACAUCACAAAUUGAACUUAUGGUCCUUGAUUUGAUUCUAUCA